rnacentral:rRNA from 1 species
CCUACGAGAGGCAGCAGUGAGGAAUAUUGGUUAAUGGGCGCUAGCCUGAACCAGCCAAGUAGCGUGAAGGAUGACUGCCCUAUGGGUUGUAAACUUCUUUUAUAUGGGAAUAAAGUGCAGUAUGUAUACUGCUUUGCAUGUACCUUAUGAAUAAGGAUCGGCUAACUCCGUGCCAUCAGCCGCGGUAAUACGGAGGAUCCGAGCGUUAUCCGGAUUUAUUGGGUUUAAAGGGAGCGUAGGCGGGUUGUUAAGUCAGUUGUGAAAGGUUGCGGCUCAACCGUAAAAUUGCAGUUGAUACUGGCAUCCUUGAGUACAGUAGAGGUAGGCGGAAUUCGUGGUGUAGAGGUGAAAUGCUUAGAUAUCACGAAGAACUCCGAUUGCGAAGGCAGACUGCUGGACUGUAACUGACGCUGAUGCUCGAAAGUGUGGGUAUCAAACAGGAUUAGAUACCCCAGUAGUC